rnacentral:rRNA from 1 species
GUAGGUGAACCUGCGGAGGGAUCAUUACACAAAUAUGAAGGCGGGCUGGAACCUCUCGGGGUUACAGCCUUGCUGAAUUAUUCACCCUUGUCUUUUGCGUACUUCUUGUUUCCUUGGUGGGUUCGCCCACCACUAGGACAAACAUAAACCUUUUGUAAUUGCAAUCAGCGUCAGUAACAAAUUAAUAAUUACAACUUUCAACAACGGAUCUCUUGGUUCUGGCAUCGAUGAAGAACGCAGCGAAAUGCGAUAAGUAGUGUGAAUUGCAGAAUUCAGUGAAUCAUCGAAUCUUUGAACGCACAUUGCGCCCUUUGGUAUUCCAAAGGGCAUGCCUGUUCGAGCGUCAUUUGUACCCUCAAGCUUUGCUUGGUGUUGGGCGUCUUGUCUCUAGCUUUGCUGGAGACUCGCCUUAAAGUAAUUGGCAGCCGGCCUACUGGUUUCGGAGCGCAGCACAAGUCGCACUCUCUAUCAGCAAAGGUCUAGCAUCCAUUAAGCCUUUUUUUCAACUUUUGACCUCGGAUCAGGUAGGGAUACCCGCUGAACUUAAGCAUAUCAAUAAG